rnacentral:rRNA from 1 species
GCAUAUCAAUAAGCGGAGGAAAAGAAACCAACAGGGAUUGCCCCAGUAACGGCGAGUGAAGCGGCAACAGCUCAAAUUUGAAAUCUGGUCCCCAGGGCCCGAGUUGUAAUUUGUAGAGGAUGCUUUUGGCGAGGCGCCUUCCGAGUUCCCUGGAACGGGACGCCACAGAGGGUGAGAGCCCCGUCUGGUCGGAUGCCAAGCCUAUGUAAAGCUCCUUCGACGAGUCGAGUAGUUUGGGAAUGCUGCUCAAAAUGGGGAGGUAUAUGUCUUCUAAAGCUAAAUACCGGCCAGAGACCGAUAGCGCACAAGUAGAGUGAUCGAAAGAUGAAAAGCACUUUGAAAAGAGGGUUAAAAAGUACGUGAAAUUGUUGAAAGGGAAGCGCCUAUGACCAGACUUGGGCCCGGUGAAUCAUCCAGCGUUCUCGCUGGUGCACUUUGCCGGGCACAGGCCAGCAUCAGUUUGGCGCGGGGGACAAAGGCUUCGGGAAUGUGGCUCCCCUCGGGGAGUGUUAUAGCCCGUUGCGCAAUACCCUGCGCCGGACUGAGGUACGCGCUCCGCAAGGAUGCUGGCGUAAUGGUCAUCAGCGACCCGUCUUGAAACACGGACCAAGGAGUCGUCUUCGUAUGCGAGUGUUCGGGUGUAAAACCCCUACGCGUAAUGAAAGUGAACGCAGGUGAGAGCUUCGGCGCAUCACCGACCGAUCCUGAUGUUCUCGGAUGGAUUUGAGUAAGAGCAUACGGGGCCGGACCCGAAAGAAGGUGAACUAUGCCUGUAUAGGGUGAAGCCAGAGGAAACUCUGGUGGAGGCUCGCAGCGGUUCUGACGUGCAAAUCGAUCGUCAAAUAUGGGCAUGGGGGGCGAAAGACUAAUCGAACCUUCUAGUAGCUGGUUUCCGCCGAA